rnacentral:tRNA from 1 species
GUGGUACUAGCUCAGUCGGUAGUCUUUUAACCUUAGCGCAGGUCUCAUAACUGGAGUUAUCCUGAGGUCGUGAGUUCGAAAAUUUAAAUCUCACGUACCACA